UCUCUCUUCUCUUUCUCCUCCAUCCUGGUGAUGACAUCAUCUGGGCUCUUCCGUGGGGCUUCACAGUUGUUCUUAUCUUUAUAGUCCAAUACGUGUGCAACUCAGUUCUAUUCCCCGCUGUCACCUUGGAGUGAUCUAUCAAAAACAGCCCGUCACAUCAUCUACCCUGUUCCUCUAUGAUUCUACUUAAUGUCCCAUCAGACACCAACACACACUUCCAUGUUGUCUGUCUCUAUCACUGAUAUACGAGCACCCACCAGGGCAAACACUGCAUCCUGUUCAUCACUGGGUCCCUGAAGUCUAGAUCUAUGCCUGGCACACACCACACACUCUGUUCUGCCACUUCUUUGCCUUAGAGGUUGCUUGAGAAAUUAUUUACAUACUAACCAGAGUCUGGAAAUAUCUGUCCCAUAAAAUUACUCAACAACUAUGGUGAGUUGGGGUGGGGGGCUGGUGUUGUGGCACAGCAAAUCAAACUGAUGCCUACAAUGCCACACCCCAAACUAGAGUGCCAAUUCAAGUCCUGGCUGCUCAGCUUUUGAUUCAGCUCCCUGUUAAAGUGGAAUAUGACUCAAGUACUGAGACUUCUGCCAACCACAUAGGAUACCAGGAUGGGGUUCCAGGUUCCUGUCAAGCCAUUUAGGGAUAGAAUCAGUAGAUGAAAGAUCUCUCUAUCUCUUUGUAACUGCCGACAAAUGGAUCUAAGGAAAAACAUUUGUACUGAAUUGGAUGAUGUCUCCGACAAAGUUCAAGUUUACUGGGCUCUCAGAAGGCAACCUGAUUUGGAAAUAGGUUCUCUGCACUAUAAUCAAGCUAAAAAGAAGUAAUAUGAAAUUACUAUGCAUCCUUAAUCCAGUUG